ACAGAUCUCGAUGAGAUCUUCUAUUUGAAUAGUGCAAAAAAAUCAAAAAAUUAUUUUCGUCUAUACAUUAAUUUUAAAUUUAAAAAUUACAAAUAAAUAUUUAUUUUUUAAGAAUCCUUAGCGGAAUAGGGUAAAGAUCAUCUCAACGUAAAAUUAUAGUAACGAAAAGAGGACAAACAAUAAGAUCAUUUGAAAAAUGGGUUAUGAUUUUUGCACUUCUUUUUCUUAUAAAUGCAUUUUUCGUGUCUUUUAAUGAGAAAAAUACACACAAAAACUUUACGAAAAGACAAAAAAUGGAUUGUAUUUAUUAAAAAAGGGAAUAUGAAAAUCAUUUUCCUAAAGAAUACACGUGUCAAAAAAUUGUGUACUUCGACAAUUUGGAAAGAAUAUAUUUCUUUAUAGGUCAAUUUUUUUAUUUUGCUACUUAGUUUAGUCUAUGAAAUAUUUUUAGUAAUUUAUAAAAUCAAUUUGCUUAAGAUGAUGUUUUCCAUUGUAAUUUAUAUUUUUACAACAAAGGGAGUGAUAAUAAUAUUCUUGUUGUUUUGUUAACAAAACAUUAAAGAAAUAAAUGAGCCAACUUAACCAAUAAGUCAAACCCGCGGUGAAUUUCAUACUAUUCAAGUAAGAAUGCAACUAUAUAUUUUUUUAAUGAAUUUUAAAGCUUUCGGGCAGGGGUGGACCAUUAGAUAUGGCAGUGGUUUUUUUUUUUUUUUUUUCCCCUUUUCUCUUCGGUAGGUUCAGCUAGUGUAAUUUUAAUGUCCUCUAUAACUUUUUUUUUCAUGUCCUCUAUAACAGAACGUUAAGUUAUUGAAAAAUAUCUCUUCAAUCACAUCAUAACAAAAAUAAACUUUUUGAUAGCUGAGUUAUUUCUCUAUAACAGAACGUUAAGUUAUUUCUCAACUAAAUCAUUAAUCUCAUUUCUCUCUUUUACUUUUCUAUCAUUACUCUUAUUUCUUACUCUAUCUCUCUCCACUUUUUAUCUCGCUCUCCAAUCAUUACUCUCAUUCCUCUCCAUUCAUUAUCCAAAAAUACUACUCAAAUCACAAACAAAAGAAAACACUAAUUUGUUUACAAUAGUUGCCUAAAGUCAAAGAAAUUGAAGUUUAAAGAGUCCCUUGGAAUUUUCUCGUUGCAAGUAACUCUUCAACUUGUCUCAUAAAUGGGGACGCAAGGGCCAUGUUGUGCUUUUAGUUCAAUUUUCGUCCAGAGCUCAUAGUCCUAAUCUGAAACGCUCUUUGAUCACGCGAAGAAAUUUUAUGUACAAAAUCAAGGCAAUUUGACAUCGUUAAUCCACUAAAAGCAAAUCGUGGUUUUCUUCAAUUAUAGCUAAUACAUUUUCAAAGCACACAACAGAAUUAUAUAUACUCGUAAUUUGAAGCUCGGGACGAGAACUGAGGACAGAGUAGCUUGCUCCCAAAAAGUCAAGGAAUUGCGAUAUAGGAAGUAUGAGCAGGGACGGAUCCCAAAAAUGUAGCUUAGUGAGGGCACAUUGUUAAUCAUAAUGGUAAAAAUUAAUUUUUUUUGUUAGCCACAAUAAGAUCGUACAUAAUUAAGGCAUGCAUUACAAACUACAAAAGUUUAUAACACAUAUUUUUAGUUAAAUUAUGUAAAAAUGAGUACAAAAUCUCAAACUAAAAUUUUAGACCAUUUUUUACAUGGACAUCGACAAGUUUUAGAAUGAUCGAGACAGUUUUAUUAAUGACUUUAUUUUAAAAUAUUGCUAUUAGACCGGUUAAAAAUAAAUAGAAUUAAGAAAAAAUUGUUCCAAAUAAACAAACAAUUCGGAAAUCAACAAGUAUAAAUGCACCAUAUGACGAAAUUGAAACAUAACAAAAUUAUUAUAGGUGAGUGUACGUGUAUGUGUAGUAGCACACUUUCAGAUUAUGCUAAAUAUACGCAAAUAUAACAAAAUUACUUUAGUUUCGAGUGGGCGCAUAUGCCCCCACGUGCUCCCAUGUCAGUCCUUCCUGAGUAUGAGUAUGUCAUUAAGAUGUGGUAUAGAAAUUCGAUACCUCCCUUGUGCCCUUUUGAGAUGCUCUAAUGUUAAUAAUAUUAUUUUGACAAACAUUUAUAUUCUCUCCUAAAGAAGAUUAAUAUUUUUUGCUCUAAACUUUUUCACAAAUGCAAUCCAAAAUUUGUCAUUGUGCUUAAAGUUACACAUAAUACAAGCUCUAAAAUGCAAAUUAAUCCACUUAUUAAUCAUCCAAUUUCUUAUUUUCUUUUCUUUCCCUUCCAUUCGUUUGGCCUUUGUGAAAAUUCCAAGCACAUAAGUUAGUCAAUUGAGGGGCACGUUUAGUCCACUACCUACUGACUUUUUACAGGAUCGUCUGUGUUUGUCCGAUCGUUUCUGGUAUUCAUUUUGCUAUUGGGGAUCCACAUGAUGUGCUACUCCCCUCAAACAAAAGAUCACUACCACACAAUAUUAGUCGCUCUCUUUCUUCUUCUUUUUUGCCAAGCGGUAUACAUCAACGGGGGUUUGGGGGAUAUUUAGUAAGUUAGUCCACAGGAGGUCCAAAGACUAUAGCCCUGAACCGCAAACGCCCUUGACGGCCUUCGAAUCCAGGCCUCUCACAAAGGAAUGAUCAAGAAAUACCAUUAGGCUACAAGCCCUUUGGCGCUCGUUGUCUUUCAACUAUCAACAAAAGUGAACGAUAACGUUCCUAACGCAUUGAUAGAAAAGUGAAUAGAUAAGAAGCUUGUUUUCGUUGAUGUGUAAUAUUAAUUGUGUCUAAAACAUAACUCUUGCAUGCCUUUAUAUAGGCUAUAAGAGUUGACCACCAAGAACCCCAAAUAAAUUAGGAAAACACACACAACAAAGAAACUUAGACAAAUUAGGAAACAAGAAUAAUGACCUAAACAAAAGAAGAAACGUAAUAGAACCAAGGAACAUGGUAACAUAAUAUUUUCUAGUAUUAUGUUAACAUCUCUCCUCAAAUUCAAGUAGAUCUACCAAUUUGAGUUUGAAUAGGAAACCAAGAGUCGAGGAGCUAAAACUUAGAAGAGACAGCCAGGAGAAAUCGAGAGCCAAAAGAAACAGCUAGGCACGAGAAAGACAGCCUGGAGAAACCAAGGAAAGCCGAAAAAAUGAAGAAGCCAGAAAUUGGAAAGCCAUGAACGCUGGUGGUGAAGAGGCAUGGUGGGCAGGCAACUGGAAAGCAUGAAGGAGAUUGACAAAGUAAACUAUGCGUGCCCAACAGUUGGUGGUGAGGCUUAGGUUUCUCGUAAGAGAGCAAGUAUCCUUGAGGGCCUAGAUCUCAUGACUCUGAUACAAAAAAGUGAAUAGAUAAGAAGCUUGUUUUCAUUGAUGUGUAAUAUUGAUUGUAUCUAAAACAUUAGCCUAACAUGCCUUUAUAUAGGCUACAAGACUUGACCGCCAAGAGCCCUAAAUAAAUUAGAAAAAUAUACGUAACUAAAAAACUUAUACCAAAUAGGAAACACGAAUAAUGGCCUAGACAAAACAAGAAACAUGAUAAUAUAACCAAAAAAAAAAAAAAACUAUGGUAACAUAAUAAUAAUAAUUAGCAUACAUAAUUUGUUGCUAUGUAAAUGGUUGGGAGUACAACGUAGGUAAUGUCACAUGGUGUUAGGUGAACAUUGAAUAAUUGCUCCUUAAAAGCGCUAAAAAGUAUAAAAUAAUGAAGAGAGGAGAAUACAUUAGUACUAGAAAUGAUGCAUACAUGUUGGUUUAAAAAGAAAAAGAAAAAGAAAAUCAUGCAUGCACGUGUCCACGUGCCCUGGAGAAGUACUCGGAGAAGUGACUUUGUGUGAAGCUAUCAGUAGAGAAAGAUGCUCGGAGGAGGAGAGUAUGAUAUCAUAUGCUUAAAAAAUCAUUACUAUAUUCUUUUAGCUAGUAAAAUAUUUGGGUAAAAGAAUAAAGAUUUGAUGGCAAACCUUGUUUUUCUUUUUUGUGUUCCCUUUUUUGGGAACACUUAUUAAAAAAAUUUGAAAUGUGGAAGAGACCACCCACCUUUUUAUUUUAAUGAAUCGUAUACUUAUUAGUAAUUCCCAAGUUUGGCAACAUUCUGGGGUGGGAGCAGCUCCUCUGCGACCAGUUUUGUCUAAUUGUGAUCAUUAAACGGCCUUCUUUAAUGAACGGACUUUGUUCUUCUUUCAGAGCUCAUCGAUAACAUUCAUUAUGCCCAAAUUCUUCUUGUUUGAUACAAAUCAACACACGAUUAGUACAGAUUUAUGUUGAUAAAUUGUGUUUGAUAUAAUGUAAUAAAGAAUCUUUUUUCAAGAUUAAUUCAUUCCGUAAUCAUAAUAAUUGAUAUCCAAAAAAUAUGAUGGACAAAAUAUGAUAAAAGGGCCCACCAAUAGAUAAACCCCAUGGUCCAAUCUCUUUUUAGAGACCGGAGAAGAUCCCAGGUCUUCCGAUCAUUACUCAAACAAAGUUUUAUAGAGUGUCCGAUAUCAUUGGGUUAGAACCAUUGUAGCCGCAUAAAACAUAAAUUUUACCUCAAUCUUUUGGUUUUGGUGGCCGUAGAUUAUAUACUCUGUGAUCCAAAUUAACUAGUAAUUUUUUCUAUAAACCAUCUUUCACUUGUAAAAAAAUAUUUGUUCUUGGGAUAAAUCAACUGGUUGCCACCAUAGGCGGGUACUAUAUGAUAUGAUAUGUUGGAUGGAUUAAAUUGCUUGUACUAUUUGUAGCUCAUAUGACGCCGAGUUUAAUGUCGUAUAAAGCAUCACGGAUUUACGUUAGAUGUCAUCAAAAUGUAAUGCAAUUAGUUGUUGCCAUUCCGUCUGCAAUGGAAUAGAGGGGGAUAUGCUAUUCCCGAAUUAUAUAUCUGAGGGUGUAUAUCUGGGAGAAGCCAAAUGCAUAAAAGACAACCUCUCCCCAAUCCUUCUGUAUCGAUAUGCCAUUUUUAAUGACCAUUAUAUCCCCAUCGAUUCCACUUUUAUCCAUUACGCAAGGACUAAAAUGUACAAUCAACACAUUUAAUCAUUGUAGGGGUUCGGUUUAUCGGAAUCAUGACCAUGGGUUGGUUUUGGUUCCUUCCUCCACUACUCCGCGCGCCUGCCGCCGGACCUGUAACAAGUCACUAGGGCUGUGGAAGCCCAGUGACCCUCCGACGAUCAAGUUAGAUGUAGGGAGAAGUAUAUAGGUUUAGGGUUAGGGUAGAAUGUAUAGGUCUAGGGUUAGGGUAGAAUGACAUACAGUACCUCUCUAGGUUAGAGUCCCUUUGUAGGCCUUGCUUUGCUUGGCCUCCAAGCUAGCGCAUGAAGGAUACGCUCGGGUAACCGCCUUGGGUGACGUAAUAGGCGACAUAUGGGAUAAAGCGGUUACGGAGCACAUGGCCAGGUUAGCUCCAAUGAUGAUCCUCAUGCAGUAACUGUCUCAGCUUACGUCAUGGUGAUGUGUUUGCCUAAGGGACCUGGUUCACCGAGAGAGGGGGUUGUUCCCGAGAUACCAUGGGUGGUCGCUUCGUGAUGUACCGAGUAACAUACCAAAGGCUGCCUGGGCCUUUAAUAAUAUUGCCUUGAGGCUAUGCGCUGUUGGGCACCAAGAUCUGAACCGGGAUGCGCAAUGGGAAGCGUCUCGGGGUCGGCCGGAGUCUGCUUACUCUGUGCCACUACAAUAACCCUUCAAUCCGUCCGGGCAUCAUUCUCAGCGCGGGGGGGGGGGGGGGGGGGGAUUGAUAGUAGUGAUUGCAGGCACCGAGAUCUCUGUCUGAGGGGACCUUCAUAAUAUCCUUGGCAACCGUCCAAAGCCUUGCCCCAGCCCUUGGAGCCACGCAUCAAUCGCCUCUUCAUCGAUCGUACGGUGAUAGCUGGCUCGGCACGUGCCAUGUCAGUUGAUUGGUACUUUUUGUCAAAUCAUUGCCAUGCGUCGCAACCCUAAUGGCUCGGACAACCGACGCUGCUCUUGACGUCGCUGGUCUUCUGUGAGCCGUUGAUUGCCGCCACGUGUUGCACAUCCAACGGCCUCUGAGGUGUCACUCUGUUUCCCGUGUGCCCCCUCCAUCUUUGAACUGCUAGUAUAAAAGGAGGAGCGGAAGAGAGAGACACUUUCGUUUUCUCUCUCUAGUUCAUCAACAUCAGAGCUCCUAUCUCUAAAACUCGAGUUUCCAGGGCUUUGGUUCGACUAUGUGCGCGUUUGGCAGUGAGAUCUCUUCCCAGCUUCAGGCAUGUUGAUCGAUCGACACUUCUCUCAAGUUUUCUAGCUUUUUUAAUGCAUUCUGCAACGUUUUCUGGUCGAAUUCGUUGUUUGGAGAGACUUGGACUGACUGGAAAGCGGGAAGAAGAUGAACAGACACUAUUCAAUGUUCUUGCCGAGCUCCAAAUUCUUCCCGAGCUCGAUGUUCUUCUCGAGGAAGAAUAUCCCUCGUCCAGGAUCUUAACUUAGUGUUUUGGUGUUCGAGGAAUGAUGACCUGACUAUGCCUGAACGACUGAACCUCCUUGAUUCCGAGCAUCCACGUAGCUAACAGCUCUUGUAUGUGCAUCUUGUUAGGUUUGGGCGAAUGGUCAUUGAGAUCUCCUCGGACAGCUCCAACAGCUCUUCAACAUUCAUUACCUUGAGCGAAGAAGACUUCAUGGACGACUUCCUUCGUAGUCCAGAGAGUGCACUGGGCCACUUCUGUCCCAACAGACUAUUUCGAGCCUUUUGACCCUCCUUUUGAAUAGAUGUCAGACUCUCCGAUAUCAUCUCUCGUCGCCGACCCCGUGAGCUCAUCGGGCCAAGAUGUUGAGGCCGAGGCUCCAGAGGAGGUCUGAUGAGGAAAAGCGGAGUGCCCAUGCAUAAUCCUCCAUUUCUUUGAUGGGGAGGUGGGGUCCUACGAGAAAUUCGGGCGGCCUACUCCAUUCCUCCCGAUGUUCGAGUUAGAAGAGGGGCGUCACGUCCAGAUGAUAUCCAAUACCGAGAGGGGGAGCUGACUUUCCCUCAGAUGGCCAUUACCGAGGGUGGAGUUAGGUUUCCCCUCCAUCCUUUCAUCCGACAUGUCCUUCGGGAGCUGACCCUCACCUUUUCUUAGCUUUCCACCAACUCCUACCGUAUUAUUAUGAGCAUUAUCGAGUUGCGGAGGAAGGAAGUCCUAAACUUCAGGAUCGAGGAGUUGUUUGGGGCAUACUCGCUUAGGAAGAACCCUGGCUAUGGUCGGUACUACCUUGCCAGUCGGCCAGAGUACAAGGAUCUGUUGAUAGAGAGCUUGCCCGACUCCGAGUCUUGGGCGAACGCAUUCGUUGUCGUGUCAGGGAACUUUAUGUUCGGUCCCGGGGAGGUUGGCAACGAUCCAGUUCAAUAGAAUACAGGCUCUCCCGGUCUGCACUUGUCUUUAUUUUUACUCCUUAUUGCUCUUAUUGUAAUUCGUUAUUGAGUAUCGUUCCUUGUCUACCUUCGCAGGGAAGAACGUUGUAAAGUGAUAUCGGAGGUGGUGUAAUCGCUCGGUUAUAACAGCGGCUUACGCCGUUCCGCUCGUCAGGAGGAGGGCCCCAUCUCCGCGGUUAUAAGUCAUCCUACACCAGCUUUCUCACAAAGAAACUGAGGAAGUAGGCCGGUAAGAACUCGACUUGGGCAUGCGGUCGAGGGAGAAGGGGCAGAGGAAGAGGGCGAGCAGGAGUGGUGAUAUCUUCCGAGGCGACCGGGAGCAGCAGUUCGCCUCCGCUUGGGAGAAUUUGUGAGCCAAUUCGCCCGAGAGUGGAGAGAUGGUGAGGAAAGAGGGAGAGCUGGCCAACCUGAGGCUGGCGGUUGGGGGAGCGAGGAGAGGACACAUAGCUUCGCUGAGCUCAUCUCGCCCUACAGUCCUCUAUGAGGAUUCUCAACCGCACAAGAAGCAGCGGACCGACGUGACAACAGGGUGGGAAAGGAGUAAGGCAAAUUUGGGCAAGAAUGUGAUUGAUCCAGAGGGAGGGAGUCAGGGCCGAGGGAUCCCAGCCCAACGAACGUCUUACAGACGAGUAGCUAAAAGCUUCGUGGACUCUGGUGUUUGAGACCUUCUUAGGACGUCAGAUCAACUACGGGGAUUGCGCCGGCCUGAGCUCGUAGGUGGCGUACGGAAUUCUCCGAGCGGGAUCUUUGCCGAGGGAUGUAAACGAAGCUCAGAAGGAGCCAGCUUCGCUGAUUAGUGAGAUAGCCCAGUAUCUGGUCCUGGUUGGUGUUCGUGUCGUUUGCCUUCAUGGGGAAAUGAUUAAGCAGUCCGUGGCCAUGUGAGAAGCCAAAGACGCCGUGGCUAUUGAGCAUGAACAGUCGCGACUGGCUCAAGAGGUGGCCUCGAAGCAUCAAAAGAACUUCGACAAGUUCGAAAGAUUGUGGAAGGACGUCAAGCUCAAGGGCAGAAGGCCAAGGAAGAACUUGCCGCUUUGAAGAGCCAAGUGCAAUUGCAGGUGGAUGUAGCAGACCAGAAAGGCUAUGAUGAAGGAUAUGAUAAGGCGACGCUGGAGUAUAAAGCGCAUGUGAGGGAUAUUGUGGCUGAUAUCUACUCUGACCGUUUUAAGGCUGGGGUGAAGUGGUAUCACAAGCAUUUGAUGGCGACUCUGAAUCCUUCAGAGGGUUCAUACAUUCGUACCCUUCCCGAGCCUCCUACCGAAAUGCUAAAGAUGCUCAAUCCCGUCGCCAAAGAACAAAAAACCGAGCUGAACAACAAGCCUGAAAGCAAGGUCGCAUCGAAAACAGUAGAAGCCUCUGCCCCCUGAACGUUUCUUUCUUGUGUUGAUUCAGAUAAACUUUGAACUUAGGAUAGUUUACAUUUGGCUGGACACCUCUGAACAAUUGGAGUUUGUCGUUCCAGUGGGUUUGUAAAUAUUUUUUUGCUCUGUGUGACUAGAGCUGAACAAUUGGCCUGAGCUAGAUCACUUGUAAUUGUUUGGCAGGACUGGCGCCGAACAAUUGGCCCAUGCCAGGUCCUCGGUAGGCUUUAACACCA